CCUGAGCUGAAAUCAAAAGUCAGACUUUUAACCAACUGAGACACCCAGGCACCCAUGUAGACUGAGACUUCUUGUAGAUGCAGAGAAGAUAAAGAAAAAAAAACGUGUUAUGGCACCAGUGCAAUGCAAUUCUUUUAUUACCAAAUUUUAAUUACUGAACAGAUAGCUUAUUGGGGGGCUUCUCACAGAUAACAUUUAUGUUCAUUACAUAUCAUCAUAAUAAAAUUGUUGAAAUGUUGCUGAAUGACA